rnacentral:rRNA from 1 species
GACGAACGCUGACGGCGUGCUUAACACAUGCAAGUCGAAGGGAGUGGCGAACGGGUGAGUAACACGUGAGUAACCUGCCCUUUUCUUUGGGAUAAGCCUGGGAAACUGGGUCUAAUACUGGAUGGAUUGGGAUGGGCUCGCGGCUUAUCAGCUGGUUGGUGGGGUGAUGAGUUACCAAGGCUUUGACGGGUAGCCGGCCUGAGCGGGUGGUCGGGGAGUCUGGGACGGACAAGAGGCCCAGACGACUCAGGAGUGGGGCAUUGUGGGAUAUUGGGUAAUCGAUGACAGUGUGAUGCCGCGAGUUCGUGUGGGGGAUGCGGGUCUUCGGGUUGUAAACUCCUUUCGGCCGCGGAAUGGGAGUGGGUAAAGAAGCGCCGGCUAACUACGUGCCAGCAGCCGCGGUAAUUC